rnacentral:lncRNA from 1 species
GGCCUGUAUACUUGCAUGACAUAUAACAUGAAUAAUAAUAUGAUAUCACACUUUGUAUUCUGUUUGAAAUUGAUUGUUUUUAUUUAAAAGGUGAAAUAAGUAGUAAUUGCCUUUUUCGUCCAUUCUCGAUCUAAGUUAAGUCAAUACCCAUCAGAGCUUAGAAUAGAAUCAAGAAGGCGAAGAAAGAAAAUAGUGCAUGCUUGUGUAUUCGUAUCUGUAUUAUCACAUUUAAAUAUGAAUUAAAUAUUGAC